CCGUGAGGAGGGAGGGCCGGUGCCGUGAGGAGGGAGGGCCGGCCGGGAGCGGGAGCGGGCACGGGCGCGGCGGCGCCGCGAGGUGAGCGGGCCGGGCUCGCCUCUCGGGCGGCACGGACGGGAGCACGGCUGCCGCGGCGUUCGGCUGCCGCGGCGGUGGGAGGCGUGUCCCGGGAGCCGGACGGGCGGGGCGCUCCGCGGGAGCGCUGCCCUCAGCCCGGCAGGUGCGGCGCGCUGCUGCCCGGCUGCGCGGCUGCCGUACGUACAUAUAUAUAUUACAUACGUGCAUAUAUACGUAUAUAUACACACGUCUGUCUAUGUGUAUAGUGCUUCUGAGGGUGGAUUGGUUUGUUUCCCUUAAGGGUCCUCUCGUUUGGUCAUAUCCCAGAGAGCUUGGGAUGCUCUCCCCCCCGCAGCGGGGGCAGGGACGUGCCCGUAGUGUGGGGACUUUGGUUUAGGAGUUCAGUUAAAUUUCGUGCAUCUCACAGAACAUACGGCCAGGCUUUUGCUGCUUUAUUUGUAAUAGCGGCCAAACACUCUUGAAAACUAAAGCCGGUAAGUAUGCCUGUCCUCUAUCUCAGUGGUGUGGAGAAGACUGGAUCUGGGAAAUCUUUUGGAAAGGAUUCUAAACCCUGAGUGGGGGACUAAAAAUACUCUGUGUGCUGUGUGUCAUGACAUAAGUAAAAUAAUCUGUUUUCCUGUCCUAGGUAAGUAGAGUCAUUGUUGCUAAUAAUUGAAGCUGCAAAGCUCCCUCUCCUUUAAAGUCUAUGGCAGUAUUGCCUGAGUCAAGGCUACAAGAUUCAUCUUACCUUGUACUGCUUCUUACAAGUGUACAGCACUUACUACAUAAAUGAAAUACUACUCAAAGUGUAGAGUAUUUGCCAUCUCUCUUAGAAAUCCAAAGAGAACAUAUUGGUUAUCAGGAAAUGGAUGAAUCCGUAUCCUCCAGAGGCAGAGUUCAGCUGGGGAAAAAUGUCAAGAUACGGAGAACAGAUAUCAAUGAACACAAACAAUACUGCUGUGAGAAGAGAGCUGGGACUACUCAAGGCUCACAUGAAUUCCUACAUGUUGGGCCUGAAAUAAAAUCUGAGGAUGAAAAAUUGAUGCUUUACUUCAUAAAUCGCACAAGUCUUGGAGUUCACCUGUCUCCUGGAAAUCUUGGUCAGCUCACACCAAGAAAUGGCAUCCACUGAUCUCUGGGACAGAUCUGUUCAUGUGGAGCAGAAGAGUUCAAAAGAGAAGCAUGACAUGGAACUCCCUUGCCAAGGGCAGAUGAAGAGCCUCUGUUACAGUGAACUCAGAGGAGAGACACUGUCUUCAUUGUCUUGAAAAGAUAAAACCAGAGAGAAGUACAAAGAGAGUUUGAAGAGCCCUGUGGUCCCAAAGGGCUGCCUGCCCCUUCUUUUAGCAGCUUUCAAGACCUGUCUCGUGCUGCUCAAAAUUGGUCUGUCUUCCAAGCCUCAUUGCUGUCUGACCACCAGCUUGAAUUGAGCAGGGCUAAAACAGAGCUGUUAAUCUUUUUCUCUGAGCUACCUCCCUACCAUGUCCUUCAACACUGCAAUCCUGCUUGCUCCUUAGGCCAAACUGGAAAACUGGAACUGUGAUGAACUGGAACAUUUACUGGCUUUGGACUGGAGAAAUAACUUUGCUGUGUGUAAGCCGAGCCCCUUACCCGAUGGCAACACUUCAGCUGGCAUGCAUCAGGAUAGGGUGUUUUCUUGAAUUGAUUAUAACCUGGUGGAGCUGCUGGGGGUGGAGUCUGCACACAGCUGCAAGAUGCUUGGCAAUCUCCAUCUGCCCAGCACAGAGGAGGAGCAGGUAGGUUAAUCCCUUUCCUCCACUCCUUAUUGAGCAAUUAGGCCAUUAAAUAAGUUCUUCUCUACUGAUACC